GGCUCGGUAGCUCGGUGGUUAGCGCGUCCAGCUAGCAAAUCGAGGCUCACAAGUUCGAAUCUUUGUCUCGGAAG